AUACGUAGGGGGCGAGCGUUGUCCGGAAUGAUUGGGCGUAAAGGGCGCGUAGGCGGCCCGGUAAGUCUGGAGUGAAAGUCCUGCUUUUAAGGUGGGAAUUGCUUUGGAUAUUGUCGGGCUUGAGUGCAGGAGAGGUAAGUGGAAUUCCCAGUGUAGCGGUGAAAUGCGUAGAGAUUGGGAGGAACACCAGUGGCGAAGGCGACUUACUGGACUGUAACUGACGCUGAGGCGCGAAAGUGUGGGGAGCAAACAGGAUUAGAUACCCUGGUAGUCCACACUGUAAACGAUGAAUGCUAGGUGUAGGGGGUAUCGACCCCUUCUGUGCCGCAGUUAACACAAUAAGCAUUCCGCCUGGGGAGUACGGCCGCAAGGUUGAAACUCAAAGGAAUUGACGGGG
rnacentral:rRNA from 1 species